rnacentral:rRNA from 1 species
UUGACCUCAAAUCAGAUAGGACUACCCGCUGAACUUAAGCAUAUCAAUAAGCGGAGGAAAAGAAACUAACAAGGAUUCCCCUAGUAACUGCGAGUGAAGUGGGAAAAGCUCAAAUUUAAAAUCGGGCUCAGUCUCAGACUGUCCGAGUUGUAAUCUAGAGAAGCAUUAUCCGCACUGGACCGUGUACAAGUCUCCUGGAAUGGAGCGUCACAGAGGGUGAGAAUCCCGUUUCUGAUACGGACUACCAGAGCUUUGUGAUGUGCUCUCGAAGAGUCGAGUUGUUUGGGAAUGCAGCUCUAAAUGGGUGGUAAAUUCCAUCUAAAGCUAAAUAUUGGCGAGAGACCGAUAGCGAACAAGUACCGUGAGGGAAAGAUGAAAAGAACUUUGGAAAGAGAGUUAAACAGUACGUGAAAUUGUUGAAAGGGAAACGCUUGAAGUCAGUCACGUUGGUCAGGAAUCAACCUUGUCUUUCUGCUUGGUGUAUUUUCUGGUUAAUGGGUCAGCAUCAAUUUUGACCAGUGGAAAAAGGUCGAGGGAAUGUGGCAUCUUCGGAUGUGUUAUAGCC